rnacentral:rRNA from 1 species
AGAGUUUGAUUAUGGCUCAGAACGAACGCUGGUGGCGUGUCUUAUACAUGCAAGUCGAGCGAGGCAGCAAUGCCGAGCGGCGAACGGGUGGGUAACGCGUAAGCAAUCUGCCCCAUAUCAGGAAAUACCCGUGCCAACGCGCGGUUAAUGUCCAGGAGAGUGGCCCUCCGCAUGGAGGGUUGACUAGAGAUUUAUCGGUAUGGGAUGAGCUUGCGUCCGAUUAGCUAGUUGGCGGGGCAACGGCCCACCAAGGCGACGAUCGGUAGCCGGCCUGAGAGGGUGAUCGGCCACAUUGGGACUGAGAUACGGCCCAGACUCCUACGGGAGGCAGCAGUAGGGAAUAUUGCACAAUGGGGGAAACCCUGAUGCAGCAACGCCACGUGUGGGAAGAAGCAUUUCGGUGUGUAAACCACUGUCAUGAGGGAAUAAGGCCCUUAUCCGUAAGGGAUUGAAUGUACCUUGAGAGGAAGCACCGGCAAACUUCGUGCCAGCCGCAGC